rnacentral:rRNA from 1 species
UACGAAGGGGGGCUAGCGUUGCUCGGAAUCACUGGGCGUAAAGGGUGCGUAGGCGGGUCUUUAAGUCAGGGGUGAAAUCCUGGAGCUCAACUCCAGAACUGCCUUUGAUACUAAAGAUCUUGAGUCCGGGAGAGGUGAGUGGAACUGCGAGUGUAGAGGUGAAAUUCGUAGAUAUUCGCAAGAACACCAGUGGCGAAGGCGGCUCACUGGCCCGAUACUGACGCUGAGGCACGAAAGCGUGGGGAGCAAACAGGG